rnacentral:lncRNA from 1 species
UUUUUAAAAAAUAUUUUAAAAAACUUCAAAAUGCUAAAAUUCUGAAUUGGCACAGCAAAAAUACACAUAUAUCGCUCUUGUUCCAGACCUUUUCUCAGGCUUGUGUAAACAUGUAAACAUGCGCAGCUGCUGUUUGUAUUUAUAAAUGAUCGUUAUUUCUGUAGUGCAUCACCACCAUUUUUUCUUAAUGUUAUGAAUAAUCUUUGCACACAUCGAUCUAAAACACUCCUUUUAACAGUUGCCUGGUAGCUCAUAAGUAGAUAAAAUUGCAUCAUCCGUUGUAUUUAUGGAUAAAGUUAGGGGAAAUUGCGUUUAGUGUUAUGAGAUUCUUCUUCCUGUUGAAAUCUAUGCAGCCCACUCAUGGCCUGUUACCUCGAUGACUGCUUGUUCUCGUUCAGACUUCAUGCCAUCUGGACUCUCCACGUGUGGUUGGUGCACGUCACAACUCAUGCACGUGCCCUUGAGUUAGCCUCCCUCCUAAAUGAGGGAAAAAGUGACUAAGGGAAACGAUAGAAAACUACACACCUCAAAACGUGUCAUGAAUUUUCCUCAAAACUUUUCUGCCAAAAGUUGAAGAAGCUAUCCGAAGUCUACUUUCUGAAGGAAUUUUGUUUCAGUUGCAUUAUGAAUCGCGUGUUUCCAGAUGGCAGAGUUUUCCAGAAAUGAUGAUUUUUCUUGCCCUGUCACAUUUGACCACCCCAAAUGUCUUAGUAAAAUGCUAUGAGGCUUCUCAUCAAGCUUUACAAACAAUUACGCCGGCCAGAACAAUGGUGCAGCUGUGUCCUAAAGUUCAGUCACCUGAAGAAGCAAUAAUGUUAUAAAUCGCCCAGUGAUGAAAUUUGUUGACUGAAAACUAAGAAACAUAAUCAAAAUAUCUUUGCAUUUCGAGAGCACUUGGAAACGAGAAAAUUUAUAUGAAAUCCACACAAAGGUCAGAAUUUUUACUUGCAUAUAUUUCCCCCUGAAAACUCAGUAAUUCAAACUUAAUAUUAAAGGGCUAGAAAAGAUUAUCCAAAACAUGGCACGGGGUCAGCCUACCAUUUCUGAAGUUCGCGAUUAUACAUCAUAAAUAGCCAGAGCCGAGCAUUCGUGAAUAAGAGUUUGUAUCAGAGUAGCUAAACGAUGAGCCUGUUUAAUUAGGAAAAUAACAGAAUAGGAAAGGCCAAGGAAUGCACCCCUAGGAUACUCGUGCUAGUUUUUAAUAGCGUAAAAAAGUUUUAGAAUUCCUUAAAUACAAAAGUGGACAGACCAAUAACACACCCAGAAAUUAUAAAUAGAAUGUGGGAGUAAUCAGCCCCCAUGUCUCUUCUGUCAUGAAGUGUCUAAGUCAGCCUGGGGAAGCAAGCCCCGUGGAAUGUGUUUCCAGCCUCUCUAAAAAUAAGGGACCAGGCUAGAUACCCUCUAACACCUUUAUAUCAUUACGAUUAUCAGUUUGUAUAUUGCCAGUGUACGAUAAUAACUACCUGUGCAUGUAAUAAUACUGAAUUUGGUAAAUGGUAAAUUACCUUUUAAAACUCACAAAAUAAAAGAAAUAAAUUGUUAUUCAUUAACUGUUUUACUUACCUUUUACAAAGAAUGCAGCUAGUUGCAAAUAUGCUUUCUAUUGAAAAAAAACCUUCAAACAAUCUGAUUUAUUUUAUGCUUGGCCUUAAUUUUAUUUAUACGCUAUAGUCUUACAAAUGAAAGACAGAGACAGAGAGAGAUCCUUUAGGAAGAAGAUAAUUCAGAACAUUGGUCCUCUUAAGUAUCAUAUUUUAUGUAAGUUUUGUAGCUAUGGAUAUUCAGAUGUUACCUCUCCUCAGAGAUAGAGUUCUUACAUAAACUAUAAGAAACAUGUGAAAAGAUUGGGUAUCUCUUCGUAAAAGGCACUCUUAAUGAACUUUCUUAAACAGAGUAAUUUUCAUGUGUAACUACUACCCAAACCCACAGGGUUAAAAAGAACAAAAAUACCUUCAGUGCAAUUUUUUCUUUCAAAUUGCUUUAAGAAGAUAGCUGUAUUUCAUCAUUUGAAAGCAACUGAUUUUCUGAAUUGGGUGAUGACAGAUAUAUACUUUUGCUGUAAAAAUGUUACACACUCUUUGUACUACUGAAGAGGGUGUGGGGUACCCAUCAAUCUGCAUUACGAAUCAGGUCCUCCAUAAAGAGCUUCCCAGGUGGUCUGUGUGCUUCUAGCAACAGGUAAACUAACCCAAAAGUAUAUUAAGGAAUGUUGUAAUUGUCUUUAGGUAAUUGUUUUGAAAUCAUCGAAUUUAUUCCUGAGAAUGUGGUAUAUCUCUGUCAUGAUUCAAGUAAAGGUCAACUCUGAACCAGGUAUGGCGUCCACCAAUAGCCUAUUACUCUGGUCUCUGAUUUGAUAGUUCCUAGGUUUGCCUUAUCGUUUCUGCAUGUACAAUUGAUCAAGUAGGGCUGUAUUUACACAUAAACACCAUUCCUGCCUUUAACCAAUUCACCAUGACUAGACCAUUAAUGGAGGUCACUUAGAGUGACAAAAGAUCCUUUCUACUCUAAGCAGAAAUCAUUAAAUAAAGGUGUUUCUUUUUUUUUCCAGCAGUGCAACCUCCAUGUACAAAAGACCAUGGUAUAUUCAGGCCACUGACCAAAGGGCUACAAUUAGCAAUUAUUUCUCUCAUUUUCAAUGGGCCAUUUAGAAUUAACCCAAACAAGCCCUGGAAAUAUUAUUGAAAAGUACGAAUUACAUUUCUGCUGCUUCCGAAUCUUAUGGCUCAGGAAGACAUUCAUAUUUAAGAAAAAUGUACACAAUAUCUCAGAAUAAUAAAUCAGUCUUUGCUUCCUGAAUUCUAGCAAAACUAAAUUAAAAUUUUAAAUACCUUUACCCAAAAUAAAUGCUAGCAGCCAGUACCUUUUAUAAAUGUUUACAAUUAGCCUUCUUUUCGGACUUGUGAUUGAUUUGAGGUUGAGCAGUAGGUAAACAUUGUGCUAUUAGCAGACCUGUUCCACGUUCAGUCAGACACCAGCCACUACACAACUCAAGGGAUAUGGUAUAUUGAAAAGUUACCUGAGACUCCCAAAAGGUAAAAGAAAAAAUAACUCUAAAACAUUUUGUGGUAGGAGCCGAGGUUUAUGCAAUAGGGUCUUCCAAAAUGUAUGAACACGAAAGAUAAACUAGAGAAACAUUUCUAGCUAUUCCUUGAGACACAACACACUUAUUAUAAUAAGUUGACAAUCACCUAGUUGCUUAAUAAUAAAAUCCAUACUAAAACGGAAAUUAAACUUAGUUUUGUUAUUUAAUUGCUUCACUGGUAGAACACUGAUUAGAAGGCACAUAGGAGUUAAGCCUUUAUGAUUUGAUUUACACUGCUUUGAAUCAAAAUAGUCCUCAUCAUACUCAUCAGCAUAGCAAUGCAUACAUCACAUUUCGGUUGCAUUUCAUAGUUUAUUUUAUUUAAUCCUCAGAAUAGUCUUGGAAGAAAAACAAGCAAGGCAUAGAGGAUAAACAAACAGGGUCUAAGUGAAAUCGAUAAGGCUUGAGUUUGAAUCCAUGUGUUAUCUUUUUGUGCAUUUGGAGAAAUUAUUUAACCUUCAUAUCCUAAUAUUUAAACUGUAACUAAAUAAUGUGCACCUUGGAGAGUUGCCGUGGUUAUUGAUGUUUAAGAGAUAGAAUUUGUCAUUGUUCACAUUUUAUGGAUGAAGGAGGUUAAAUUUAGAAAAUUUAAGUUACCUGUAUAAAAUCAUGCAACUCAAUAGCAGAACUAGGACAAUAAUUUGAAGUCCAAGAAUCUCACCAUCUGUGUUUAUUUCAAUUAUAAUUUCUAGCUUUAACACCCAAGCUUAAAUAUCACCUUUGCUUUGAAACCUUUAAGAAUGGCAGAGUUUCUCUCCUAGUUUAUAGCAAUUUCUCAUUUCUUUUGCCUCGCGUAAUACUAUAUAUACCUUAUUGGGGACAUUUUAUCACAUGUAUUAUAAAUAGUAGAUGAGUCAAUAAGUAGACAAAUCAAUAGGUAAGUGAAUGGAUAUAUAGACAGACCAUAUGAAGAGAUUCUCUUUACCUAACUGCACAGUAAGUUUCUCAAGGACAAAGAACAAUACUUAUCUUACAAUGGAGAUGCUCAAUAUUUUUUAUGCUUUUCUUUUGAUACAUGAAGUUUACCACCCAUAAAGAGUAACUCAAAAAUGGAUUUUUAAGAUACAUGUCUUUUAUAUUUUACUAUGCAUAUGAUGUGGGUAAAGUCAAGUAAUAACAUUUCAACUCUAUGUUGCUAAUAAAAUUAAAACUGUAGUGAUUUUUAUGAUAUAAAUUAUAAUGAUUCUGGCUCUGCAAUAGGUAACUCCCUUCCACUGGCGAUGCCUUUUUCCGUAAUAAUUCACACCAAACAGAAUGAAUAACUGCUCUUGAAAAGAAAAACACACAUUCAUGAUGAACCUUUUACUGUCGUGUCCUUGGGAUAACUUAAAUUCUUUAAGUCUAGAGACUGUUAUUAACCCUGAGCGUGAUGUUUAGGCUGGACAUCUAAUAAAACUUUUUAAUAUUUCAGAUUUGGUUACAACGAUGGUAUCAGCUCACGAUUCCAAUAUAGUUCAGUAAUUAGACUCACUCUAA